UUGGAGGGCAAGUCUGGUGCCAGCAGCCGCGGUAAUUCCAGCUCCAAUAGCGUAUAUUAAAGUUGUUGCAGUUAAAAAGCUCGUAGUUGAAUUUCGGAGUUUGUCGGUUGGUCGGGCUUCACUGUCCGCACUGGCCUGAUGGGUUCCUACCUUCUGAAUAACCAGCAUGCUAUUAAGUUAGUGCGUUGGGGAAGCAGAGCUAUUACCUUGAAAAAAUUAGAGUGCUUAAAGCAGGCUUAUGCUUGAAUAGAUUAGCAUAGAAUAAUAAAAUAGGACGGCAUGGUUCUAUUUUGUUGGUUUCUAGGAUCACCGUAAUGAUUAAUAGGGAUAGUUGGGGGCAUUAGUAUUCAAUUGUCAGAGGUGAAAUUCUUGGAUUUAUUGAAGACUAACUUCUGCGAAAGCAUUUGCCAAGGAUGUUUUCAUUAAUCAAGAACGAAAGUUAGGGGAUCGAAGACGAUCAGAUACCGUCGUAGUCUUAACCAUAAACUAUGCCGACUAGGGAUCGGACGAUGUUAAUUUUUUAAUGACUCGUUCGGCGCCUUACGGGAAACCAAAGUGUUUGGGUUC
rnacentral:rRNA from 1 species